ACGAAAAACAUAUGAAUUAGCUUUAUGUAAAGUCUAACUCAGAAACCCUACUCUCGUUUCAGACUUUUCUUCUUCGUGUAUCUCUCUCCGGCCGGGGCCAACUGAUUCCAAUCAUCCAAACGCCAGUUGAAUGCUAAAACCCAAAUCGAAGGAAUAACAAUUCGAUUCUAAAAAAGGUCUUUCGAUGGGGAACAAAAUCGCAAGUCUCGGCGACGGAGUACUACCUGCACGACUUGCCUUCCUCUUACAAUCUCGUCCUCAAGGAUGUUCUAGGCCGAGGAAGAUUCUUCAAGUCGAUCCUCUGUAAGCACGACGAAGGGUUGGUCCUCGUCGAGGUCUAUUUCAAGCGCGGCGACUCAGUCGAUCUCAGGGAGUACUAGCGUCGUCUCGUGAAGAUGAAGGAUGUGUUUAUCACUUGAAUAUCCUCACGUCUGGCCUUUCUAGUUUUGACAAGAGACUGAUAAAGCGGCUUAUCUAGUGAGGCAGUACUUCUUGAGUAACCUGCAUGAUCGGUUAGGUACUAGGCCCUCAGUCUUGUGGAGAAGAAAUGGUUGGCGUUUUAGGCCUUCUUCUCGGUCUUGUCCUCAGGGCUGUGUUGCUGACCUUGUUUAAGAAGAAGCCUUCAUGUAUGCUCGAAUUUUGAUGUAGUGCCGGAUCUUGAGACUAUGAACUUCAGAGUUCUAAGCAGGACAGAUAGAUAGAUACAAGAUCAGAGAAGUCGAGGUUGUUGUUCUUUCAUUCUCACUCACUCACAUUCACUAUUUUAAAAACAUGUUCUCUGUUUUUUAAAACUGUGAACUUUUUAAUGUUCUGAAACAGCCUUACUAUAUUCUCUGUUUUAAGAAUAUGUUCUCUGUUUCUUAAAGCUGUGAACUUUGAAUGUUCUGAAACGGCCUUAUUAUGUGGCCGAGACUACUAUGCCAGGGGGAACUGGAACACUUAUCAGUUUUCAGGUGAGGUUGGUGUGACAUGAUAGUAUUUUUUGUUCUGAAUUUAUCUUCGUUCUUUAUAGAGGCCAUCGUUCCAGCUUUCCUACUUGCUCUUGAUCCCUAAACUCUAAAGGCGAGUUUCCUUUUUCUUUCGCUUAUGUUUUUAUUGUAUGUCAUUUAUAUAUGUGCUGAGACUUGUGCUUUGUGGUUCUGUUUCUAGGUUAGACGAGAUUGGCUUUUAUUUCAACAUUAGGUACUUUAAAGACACUGUAUCAGUUGGUGAAUUUGGACGAUGUUGAGAAAGUGGUGGUCGUGAGCAAAGAAGAGGUGGCCAUGAAGAUAGGUUUAGAUUUUUUUUUGUUUAGUGUAAACAAUUUUUUUGGUUAGUUUGUUAAACCCUAAACAUGCCCUAAAUUUCAACAUCCAACACUAAUAAUAUAAUUCAAAAUGAACAUUUGCAAUUAUCAAA